CAGUCGCCGCGGGAAUACGUAGGGUGCGAGCGUUAAUCGGAAUUACUGGGCGUAAAGCGUGCGCAGGCGGUUCGUUAAGACAGAUGUGAAAUCCCCGGGCUUAACCUGGGAACUGCAUUUGUGACUGGCGAGCUAGAGUAUGGCAGAGGGGGGUAGAAUUCCACGUGUAGCAGUGAAAUGCGUAGAGAUGUGGAGGAAUACCGAUGGCGAAGGCAGCCCCCUGGGCCAAUACUGACGCUCAUGCACGAAAGCGUGGGGAGCAAACAGGAUUAGAUACCCCAGUAGUCCCUGUCUCUUAUAA
rnacentral:rRNA from 1 species